ensembl:lncRNA
UUUUUUUUUUUUUUUUUUUUAAGUGAAAAGCCAAUCAAAAUAGAUUUGCAGACUCUGCCCUAGUCUUUUCUGAAGAUAAUCUUUCGGAGCGCAAGGGCUGGGUCAGUCCCACGCUGCCUGGGUGAAGCUGCCCCAGAGGGGCGCCAUCCGCAAGGGGGUCUCACGGUUGAGUGGCGCCUGGGUCUUGCCUUCGGCUGCAGAAAUUUGUAAACCCGGUCUUUCCGGUCACGGACACCUUUGGGCUCCGUUAGGAAACACCCUGAAUUGGAAGCUGUCCUUUGACCCGGGAGCAUAGGGAUUGACCCGGCUCUCUCUGGCGAGGCAAACCGCGAUAGGUCCGUGUCCUGAAGGUUCUGGAGGCGAAAGCGCGUUGUGUUCCCGCGCAUCCUGGGAGCCCGAGCCCAGCACGUGCCGGAGCUCGGCCGCGGCUGCUGCAGCCUCGACCCAGAAACCCCUUGUGAUCCCGGGCGGCGUGAAGGCGCGGGACCAACCUCAUGCUCACGAGGGGCUGACGGAUAGCCGGCGGCCUGUGCAGUUGGCCUUGCUGCAGGGGCGGCCGACGACCUCCCCCGGGAAAGCAAACUCCGACCGGACCAGGGCUCACGGGAAGGUCUGCUCGCAAGCGUGCCCAGCCUGGCUUUGGCCUCUUAGCUAACCCUCUAACUGGGUUUUUCAACCUCCACAGGUAGCUCCUCUUUUCCGGCUACUCGGUGCCGCAUAACCAGGUAGCAAGAAGGGCGCCCGCCGAAGCCUCCUUCGGCAUGAAGCUGGCGGAGAGGCACAGGCACAGGCAAGGCGCCACUGGGCCCAACACGCUCUCCUUCCCCACCCCCUCCCACCGCCCGCGAGGAAGAGCCCAGGAGGCUCGGCCGGCCUCAGGCCCCGGAGGCUCUACGGCCCGUCCCUACUCUGGAGCUGGCUGGGUCCCGGGAUCGGACGGCUGGAGACGGGUGGUCCUCAGGCUCCCAGGCCUGGGACGGCUCCCGCGGUACUCGCUCUCCUCGCGGCGCGCGUGUUCCCGCUCUCAGGUUUAAGGAGAGCACAGCCCACCCAGGGAAUCCAUUCCCCACAGGGCUUCAAAUGCUGGGUGAGAUAAGUGGAAAGUCGUAGGGAGUGCGAGAGCCUUUCCAAAUGAGGUCCUCUGAGAAAGCUCUCUUGCCUCUCCCAAAGGGGCCACAUCCGAGGCCUUGGAAUCUGCUAGAAUCUGAUCAGCACCAUCCCGCCGCGAUCCCCUAAGCUAGGGUCAGAACUAGUGUCUUUCCCCUGCCCCGAGGAAGUCGGAGCCGCCCUGGGCAUGAGUCCGAAAAUCUGUCUUAGAAAAACUGCCCAGGAGAGGACGAGGGACGCUCACAAAGGCCCCAGCGGUGGGGUAGAGCGGGUUACUGGCCCUGACAACAAGCCCCUGCCGUGCACACGAUUCUGCCACCGCAGCCAAGGGGCCCAGGUCGAGGUGAAAGGAACCCAGCCGCCGGCAGUGUCGUUGGCAGCCAGACAUUCAUACCCGGAGCCAGCCGCCUGAGUGACCGCCCCCGGCGCCCGCGCCACGUAGUGCUUGGCUCGUGCCUCCAGGGGGCGCUGCGGCUCUUCCCGCGGGCCGCUGAGCUCCCGCCCGCGGCCGCGCUUUCCGACCCCCGCGGUUAGUAAAGCGCGGUUUUGAACAUACUUUUUAAAAGAUAAAAUUCUUAGUUUCCUGCUUCUAUACCCUCAUUUCUGAGACCAGUGCCCGCACCCCUCCUCUAAGUUUUUGCGAUCUUCCUCACAACUCGGGAACUGGAGAGCACUCGUCCGGAGAGAGCUGGGCUCCCAAUUCCGCGAGGCUCUAGCGAAAAGCGGCAAACAGUGCGCGAAGUUCAAAUGCAAAAGGUCCCC